rnacentral:rRNA from 1 species
AGAGUUUGAUCCUGGCUCAGAGUGAACGCUGGCGGCGUGCCUAACACAUGCAAGUCGAACGAGAACGGAACUAGCUUGCUAGUUUGUCAGCUAAGUGGCGCACGGGUGAGUAAUAUAUAGUUAAUCUGCCCUGAAGAAGAGAAUAAUUGUUGGAAACGACUUGUAAUGCUCUAUAUGCCUUUAUCACAUAAGUGAGCAAGGGAAAUAUUUAUAGCUUCGGGAUGAGACUGUACGGUAUCAGCUAGUUGGUGAGGUAAUGGCUCACCAAGGCUAUGACAUCUAACUGGUUUGAGAGGAUGAUCAGUCACACUGGAACUGAGACACGGUCCAGACUCCUACGGGAGGCAGCAGUGGGGAAUAUUGCACAAUGGAGGAAACUCUGAUGCAGCAACGCCGCGUGGAGGAUGACACAUUUCGGUGCGUAAACUCCUUUUAUUAGGGAAGAUAAUGACGGUACCUAAUGAAUAAGCACCGGCUAACUCCGUGCCAGCAGCCGCGGUAAUACGGGGGGUGCAAGCGUUACUCGGAAUCACUGGGCGUAAAGAGCAUGUAGGCUGAUUAGUAAGUUGGAAGUGAAAUCCUAUGGCUCAACCAUAGAACUGCUUCCAAAACUGCUUAUCUAGAGUAUGGGAGAGGUAGAUGGAAUUUCUGGUGUAGGGGUAAAAUCCGUAGAGAUC